UAGCACCCACUAUCAUCGGAUAAAGAAACAGAUCUUAAGAUGGUUAAAGAAAACUUAGUUUGAUAGCAGUCUGUCUGGCAAGAAACCACUUAUCAAUAAUUGUGGUUGUGAAAUCCUCAUUUCUUUAUUAUUUUGUCAUUAUGGUCCCCACUUCCCUAUUGUUUGUCUGUAUGAUCUCUGUCUGGUUCUGUGAUUGUUUCUGUCUGUUACAUAAUUAAUUUUGAUAGGUAUAAAUUAAUGAAGGUGGUGGAGUAUGAUUGAUUAGAGAAUUUUGUUACAAUGUGUUAUGAUUGGUUAGUAAAAUUUUAGUAAAAUAAUUGGUUAAGGAAUAGCUAAGCAGGACUCAAGUUUCACUGUAUAAACUGGGGUCCAAGAAGGAGAAAGACCUGGAAGAAGAACUCACCUCCAAGACACAGGCUAAGAUCAGAACUGUUAAGAAUCCUCUGCAUGGCCCUGAUGUACAGCAACCAGACUCCAGACGACACUGACCUUGUCUGGCCAACAGGGAAAGUUCACCUGCCUGAUCAGGAUUGAUGUUUAGCCACCCAAGGCAGAAGUGAGCCCCCUGCACUGGGACUGUGGCAGAUUCCUAGAGGAACACCGAACAUCCUUCUGAGAGAUGGACGGCCACCUAUGACCAACCAGCUGGAAUGAAGCUUGAUUGUGAGAGGACAUUGUAGUCCAUUAGCUCCUAAAGGCCCCAGCGGCUCGGGCCCCAUUCUGCUAGACACUGAACAAAGGUAAGAGACAGAGCUGCUUCAAUGAGCUUACAAUCCAAGUAAGCAGCUGGAAGUGCUUAG